UACGAAGGGGGGCUAGCGUUGUUCGGAAUUACUGGGCGUAAAGCGCGCGCAGGCGGCUAUCCAAGUCAGUGGUGAAAGCCCGGAGCUCAACUCCGGAACUGCCAUUGAAACUGUUUAGCUUGAGGACGAGAGAGGUGAGUGGAAUUCCCCAGUGUAGAGGUGAAAAUUCGUAGAUAUUUGGGGAAGAACACCGGUGGCGAAGGCGGCUCACUGGCUCGUAUCUGACGCUCAGGCGCGACAGCGUGGGGGAUCAAACAGG
rnacentral:rRNA from 1 species